GAUGAACGCUGGCGGCGUGCCUAAUACAUGCAAGUCGAGCGAACAGACGAGGAGCUUGCUCCUCUGACGUUAGCGGCGGACGGGUGAGUAACACGUGGAUAACCUACCUAUAAGACUGGGAUAACUUCGGGAAACCGGAGCUAAUACCGGAUAAUAUAUUGAACCGCGUGGUUCAAUAGUGAAAGACGGUUUUGCUGUCACUUAUAGAUGGAUCCGCGCCGCAUUAGCUAGUUGGUAAGGUAACGGCUUACCAAGGCAACGAUGCGUAGCCGACCUGAGAGGGUGAUCGGCCACACUGGAACUGAGACAAGGUCCAGACUCCUACGGGAGGCAGCAGUAGGGAAUCUUCCGCAAUGGGCGAAAGCCUGACGGAGCAACGCCGCGUGAGUGAUGAAGGUCUUCGGAUCGUAAAACUCUGUUAUUAGGGAAGAACAAAUGUGUAAGUAACUAUGCACGUCUUGACGGUACCUAAUCAGAAAGCCACGGCUAACUACGUG
rnacentral:rRNA from 1 species